GGCUUCGUAGUUCAACUGGAUAGAAUGGCGGAUUUCGGCUCCGUUGGUUGGGGGUUCGAAUCCCUCCGAAGUCAC
rnacentral:tRNA from 1 species